rnacentral:rRNA from 1 species
GACGAACGCUGGCGGCGUGCUUAACACAUGCAAGUCGAACGGAAAGGCCCUGCUUUUGUGGGGUGCUCGAGUGGCGAACGGGUGAGUAACACGUGAGUAACCUGCCCUUGACUUUGGGAUAACUUCAGGAAACUGGGGCUAAUACCGGAUAGGAGCUCCUGCUGCAUGGUGGGGGUUGGAAAGUUUCGGCGGUUGGGGAUGGACUCGCGGCUUAUCAGCUUGUUGGUGGGGUAGUGGCUUACCAAGGCUUUGACGGGUAGCCGGCCUGAGAGGGUGACCGGCCACAUUGGGAACUGAGAUACGGCCCAGACUCCUACGGGAGGCAGCAGUGGGGAAUAUUGCACAAUGGGCGGAAGCCUGAUGCAGCAACGCCGCGUGCGGGAUGACGGCCUUCGGGUUGUAAACCGCUUUCGCCUGUGACGAAGCGUGAGUGACGGUAAUGGGUAAAGAAGCACCGGCUAACUACGUG